AACGCUAGCUACAGGCUUAACACAUGCAAGUCGAGGGGCAGCAUGGUCUUAGCUUGCUAAGGCUGAUGGCGACCGGCGCACGGGUGAGUAACACGUAUCCAACCUGCCGUCUACUCUUGGCCAGCCUUCUGAAAGGAAGAUUAAUCCAGGAUGGGAUCAUGAGUUCACAUGUCCGCAUGAUUAAAGGUAUUUUCCGGUAGACGAUGGGGAUGCGUUCCAUUAGAUAGUAGGCGGGGUAACGGCCCACCUAGUCAACGAUGGAUAGGGGUUCUGAGAGGAAGGUCCCCCACAUUGGAACUGAGACACGGUCCAAACUCCUACGGGAGGCAGCAGUGAGGAAUAUUGGUCAAUGGGCGAUGGCCUGAACCAGCCAAGUAGCGUGAAGGAUGACUGCCCUAUGGGUUGUAAACUUCUUUUAUAAAGGAAUAAAGUCGGGUAUGCAUACCCGUUUGCAUGUACUUUAUGAAUAAGGAUCGGCUAACUCCGUGCCAGCAGCCGCGGUAAUACGGAGGAUCCGAGCGUUAUCCGGAUUUAUUGGGUUUAAAGGGAGCGUAGAUGGAUGUUUAAGUCAGUUGUGAAAGUUUGCGGCUUAACCGUAAAAUUGCAGUUGAUACUGGAUGUCUUGAGUGCAGUUGAGGCAGGCGGAAUUCGUGGUGUAGCGGUGAAAUGCUUAGAUAUCACGAAGAACUCCGAUUG
rnacentral:rRNA from 1 species